rnacentral:rRNA from 1 species
AGCGAACGCUGGCGGCGUGCUUAACACAUGCAAGUCGAACGUGAAAUGUAGCAACACAGCGUAAAGUGGCGUACGGGUGAGUAACACGUGGGUAAUCUACCAAAGAGCCUGGAAUAACCGACCGAAAGGUUGGCUAAUACUGGAUAGUUCAAAUGAAAUAUAAUGUUUCGAUUGGGAAAGGUAGCGAGCAAUCGCCUUCACUUUUUGAUGAGCCGGCGUCUGAUUAGCUAGUUGGUAGGGUAAUGGCCUACCAAGGCGACGAUCAGUAGCUGGUCUGAGAGGAUGAUCAGCCAAACUGGAACUGAAACACGGUCCAGACUCCUACGGGAGGCAGCAGUGGGGAAUCUUGCGCAAUGGACGAAAGUCUGACGCAGCCACGCCGCGUGAGUGAAGAAGGCCUUCGGGUUGUAAAGCUCUGUCGGAAGGGACAAAAACGUUUAAGGUUAAUAGCCUUAGAUCUUGAUGGUACCUUCAAAGGAAGCACCGGCUAACUUCGUGCCAGCAGCCGCGGUAA